UGCCAGCCGCCGCGGUAAUACGUAGGGUGCGAGCGUUGUUCGGAAUUACUGGGCGUAAAGGGCGCGCAGGCGGAGGUGUAAGUCGGAGGUGAAAUCCCGGGGCUCAACCCCGGAGGGUCUUUCGAAACUACAUCUCUAGAGAGGGUCAGGGGCCGGCAGAAUUCCUGGUGUAGAGGUGAAAUUCGUAGAUAUCAGGAGGAAUACCGGUGGCGAAAGCGGCCGGCUGGGGCCACUCUGACGCUGAGGCGCGAAAGCGUGGGGAGCAAACAGGAUUAGAUA
rnacentral:rRNA from 1 species